GAUGAACGCUGGCGGCGUGCCUAAUACAUGCAAGUCGAGCGAACAGACGAGGAGCUUGCUCCUUCGACGUUAGCGGCGGACGGGUGAGUAACACGUAGGUAACCUACCUAUAAGACUGGGAUAACUUCGGGAAACCGGAGCUAAUACCGGAUAAUAUUUCGAACCGCAUGGUUCGAUAGUGAAAGAUGGCUUUGCUAUCACUUAUAGAUGGACCUGCGCCGUAUUAGCUAGUUGGUAAGGUAACGGCUUACCAAGGCAACGAUACGUAGCCGACCUGAGAGGGUGAUCGGCCACACUGGAACUGAGACACGGUCCAGACUCCUACGGGAGGCAGCAGUAGGGAAUCUUCCGCAAUGGGCGAAAGCCUGACGGAGCAACGCCGCGUGAGUGAUGAAGGUCUUCGGAUCGUAAAACUCUGUUAUUAGGGAAGAACAAACGUGUAAGUAAUUGUGCACGUCUUGACGGUACCUAAUCAGAAAGCCACGGCUAACUACGUG
rnacentral:rRNA from 1 species